UCGGGCGUAGCUCAGUUGGCAGAGCAUCUGACUGUUGAUCAGCCGCGCGCAGGUUCGAGUCCUGCCGCCCGAG
rnacentral:tRNA from 1 species